rnacentral:lncRNA from 1 species
UUGAAAUAAUGGAGAAAAUAAAUCAAAUUAAAUUGGUUGCUUACUUUGUUGUUCUUCUGUUAAUUACUUCAUUUGGUAAUUAUUCUAUUCCUUUGUCUUCCUUACUUAUUUUUAUCUUCUUUACUUAUUUUAAAAAUUUUAUGAGUUUUUUAUUCUAAAUACUUCUUGCAAAAAAGUUAUAAAAAUUUUUAUUUAAUCUUCUAAAUAAUUUAUUCAUUCGAUAAUUGGCAAGCUCAUAUUCAAUAAUAGUGAUUUGUUUAACUCAUAAAAUGCAUAAAAAAAAUUUUGAUUUAGGUUUAUCCAAGGGAGUAAAAGCGAUACAAAUUGGGGACUGCAAAGUUGACAAAGAUUGUGACAAAUCUUGUGGAGCUCCUGGUAUUGGUAGAUGCGAGUUUCAAAAGUGUUAUUGCAUUAGAGGAAGGUUUGCGGAGG